rnacentral:rRNA from 1 species
UCACCUCCCACCCGUGUUUAUUUUACCUUGUUGCUUCGGCGGGCCCGCCUUAACUGGCCGCCGGGGGGCUUACGCCCCCGGGCCCGCGCCCGCCGAAGACACCCUCGAACUCUGUCUGAAGAUUGUAGUCUGAGUGAAAAUAUAAAUUAUUUAAAACUUUCAACAACGGAUCUCUUGGUUCCGGCAUCGAUGAAGAACGCAGCGAAAUGCGAUACGUAAUGUGAAUUGCAAAUUCAGUGAAUCAUCGAGUCUUUGAACGCACAUUGCGCCCCCUGGUAUUCCGGGGGGCAUGCCUGUCCGAGCGUCAUUGCUGCCCUCAAGCACGGCUUGUGUGUUGGGCCCCGUCCUCCGAUCCCGGGGGACGGGCCCGAAAGGCAGCGGCGGCACCGCGUCCGGUCCUCGAGCGUAUGGGGCUUUGUCACCCGCUCUGUAGGCCCGGCCGGCGCUUGCCGAUCAACCCAAAUUUUUAUCCAGGUUGACCUCGGAUCAGGUAGGGAUACCCGCUGAACUUAAGCAUAUCAA